rnacentral:rRNA from 1 species
GAUGAACGCUGGCGGCGUGCCUAAUACAUGCAAGUCGAGCGAACAGACGAGGAGCUUGCUCCUCUGACGUUAGCGGCGGACGGGUGAGUAACACGUGGAUAACCUACCUAUAAGACUGGGAUAACUUCGGGAAACCGGAGCUAAUACCGGAUAAUAUAUUGAACCGCAUGGUUCAAUAGUGAAAGACGGUUUUGCUGUCACUUAUAGAUGGAUCCGCGCCGCAUUAGCUAGUUGGUAAGGUAAUGGCCUACCAAGGCAACGAUGCGUAGCCGACCUGAGAGGCGGGUAGCCGGCCUGAGAGGUGAAACAGGGACCAGGCGACUACGGGAGGGAGCAGAAGGGAACGUGCGGCAACAGUGGAGAGUCUGACGGAGUAAGCGGGAGUGAGAGACAAAAGUGUUCGGAGCGGAAUACCCGGUUAUUGGGUGAGAACAAAUUUGUAAGGAACUGUGCCCUGAGUGACGGUACUGGAUCAGGAAGCCACGGCUAACUACGUG